CUGCUAUUAGUCUAACCGGAAGUGCUUGAUAACUUCCUUUCACGUUUUACUUUGUUGGAACAUCAUUAAGGACGUCCGUUUUCGAAAAUGUCGGAUGCGGAAGGAGAUGAUGUUCCCACUGUAUCAGGAGGAUCUAUGGAUGUUUUUACAGCCGUCCAAGAAGUUCUCAAGACAGCCAUGAUUCACGAUGGUCUAGCCAAAGGACUUCAUGAGUGUGCAAAGGCCCUUGACAAACGUCAAGCACAUUUGUGCAUUCUUGCCAACAACUGUGAUGAACCCAUGUAUGUCAAGUUGGUGGAAGCACUCUGUGCUGAACAUGGAAUUAACCUCUUGAAGGUUGAUGACAACAAAAAACUGGGAGAGUGGGCAGGUCUUUGUAAGAUUGAUAAAGAGGGAAAAGCCAGGAAAGUUGUUGGCUGCAGCUGUGUAGUAGUCAAGGUGAGAUAACUCAAAUCCCUCAUUAUUCUGAGUGCAAGAUUGAGAAAUUCCACUGAGGUUAACUACAUUCACAGGCUAGAAUGUGGCAUUGCUGAGUGCAAGAAUUUAAAUCCUGUUCUGGAGAAAACUUUUCUAUCCCAUGUGAGAAAAUGAUAGAAUAUUUCUGCUGUUUAGUGAACUGAUCAUGGAACUAGGGAGAUUAAUCAGAAUGAACAAAUUAAUUUUCUUCUCUCUUUCUUUGUACUCAGAUGUGAGAACUACUGUAUAUACAUAUCCUUGCAUAUAUAGCUGUUCAAUUAUAGUUCACUUGGAGGAAUUUUGUCUGAGACUUGCUUAAGUAGGAACAGUUUCACUAAAGUCAGCUUUCUACUAUAGAUUUAAUUCUAUGACUUUUUGCCUAAAUUUUAAUUCGUUUUAUAUAUAUAUAUAUAUAUAUAUAUAUACACACACACUGUCACCCUGUUAGUUGUUAGUAAUACAUAAAGAGUUAUCUUUCCUUAUCAUGUGUAAAAUGUUGAUACAAUCCUUGUAAUUGACAACAUUUUGUUGGUCUGUAAAAUUCCUUUGGUGUUGUGUUUAAAUGUAAAGUUGGGCAUCGGGUUUUAGACCAUACUUAAUGAUAUGACUAAAUGAGUAUACAUGGGGAAUAUUAGAUGGCUUGAAGAGUGUUUCAAAAUUAAAAACCAAAAACUCUUGAAAAGCUCCGUCAAAUUGAUAUUUGAAGAAAUUGAAAAUGUUUUACAAAGAAAUUUUAGAUAUUUUAUGGCACUAUGUGGUGUAGAAAUAUAUGGAGUUAAGAUAUUUGACGUAGUAGCAGUGUGAAUCAUUCAUUAGUACGAGUGUGGGAUAGGGAGCUAGAUGCCACCAGGUGACGAGAUUCAGUCUAGGAUGAGGCUUUGCCAAGUCCUGGACAGCGAGUCUUGUUCCAGAGGUGGAAUUUCUCCACCUCGCACGAUUUAAUAAUAAAGGAUUAUUUUUCUCACAUUUUACCCACAGUUUAGUGCAUAAAUUAAAGAGCUUUGAGGAAAUUCAAGAUUAUCAAAAUCCUCAUUUGAACUUCAAUGCAAAAACUAAUUAGACAGGCAGAAAGAGCAUACCUGAAAAUGAUUUGCACUGUAAGUGUAAACUAAACAAACCCAAGGUUGUCCACCAGAAAGGUAUAUUAAAUUAAGAUUUAAAGAAAACAAUACAAAAUAUAUUACUUCAGCGUAAAUCUUAGAAAAUAUAUGACAUCACAGCAGUGUAAGAGAGAGAAAUCUCGCAUGGGUAAUGUCGAUCACACUGGUGAUGUGAGAAAAGUUUAUCUUGUAUAGAUAUUGGUUUCGCACUGGCAAUUACCUGUGAAAACUAAAUCCAUAAUUCAUAGAGUUUUCACCUUUGUUUGCAAUGAAUUUUGUACUAAGUGUUGAUAUUUUUUGUAGGAUUACGGAAAGGAGUCUCAAGCCCUGGAUGUUCUUAAUGACUACUUCAGGUCCAAGAAAUAAAUGCUGUCCAAUUGGGAAAAAAAUGUUUAAAAAAAUAAAGAAAAAAAACUGAAA